rnacentral:tRNA from 1 species
GCGGAGGUAACCAACUGGCUAGGUGGCCGGCUGCAGACCGGCAUAAGAGGGUUCGAUUCCCUCCCUCCGCU